CACGUAGGGCGCAAGCGUUGUCCGGAAUUAUUGGGCGUAAAGAGCUCGUAGGCGGUCUGUUGCGUCCGCUGUGAAAACUCGGGGCUUAACCCCGAGCCUGCAGUGGAUACGGGCAGACUAGAGGUAGGUAGGGGGAGAAUGGAAUUCCCGGUGUAGCGGUGAAAUGCGCAGAUAUCGGGAGGAACACCGGUGGCGAAGGCGGUUGCCUGGGACGUCUUUGGACUGACGCGUGAUAGCGUCGGGAAAGCGGUCGGGGGAUGCGAA
rnacentral:rRNA from 1 species